rnacentral:rRNA from 1 species
AUUGAAGCUGCAGUAAUUCCAGCUCCAAUAGCGUAUAUUAAAGUUGUUGCAGUUAAAAAGCUCGUAGUUGAAUUUCGGGGUCAGUAGGUUGGUCGUGCCACUGGUAUGCACUGGUCUCACUGAUUCCUCCUUCCUGAUGAACCGUAAUACCAUUAAUUUGGUGUUGCGGGGAAUCUGGACUGUUACUUUGAAAAAUUAGAGUGUUUAAAGCAGGCUAACGCUUGAAUACAUUAGCAUGGAAUAAUGAAAUAGGACGAUCGAUCCUAUUUUGUUGGUUUCUAGGAUUGACGUAAUGAUUAAUAGGGAUAGUUGGGGGCAUCAGUAUUCAAUUGUCAGAGGUGAAAUUCUUGGAUUUAUUGAAGACUAACUACUGCGAAAGCAUUUGCCAAGGAUGUUUUCAUUAAUCAAGAACGAAAGUUAGGGGAUCGAAGACGAUCAGAUACCGUCGUAGUCUUAACCAUAAACUAUGCCGACUAGGAAUCGGAUGAUGUUAAUUUUUAAUGA